AUGAACGCUGGCGGCGUGCCUAAUACAUGCCAGUCGAGCGAACAGACGAGGAACUUGCUCCUCUGACGUUAGCGGCGGACGGGUGAGUAACACGUGGAUAACCUACCUAUAAGACUGGGAUAACUUCGGGAAACCGGAGCUAAUACCGGAUAAUAUAUUGAACCGCAUGGUUCAAUAGUGAAAGACGGUUUUGCUGUCACUUAUAGAUGGAUCCGCGCCGCAUUAGCUAGUUGGUAAGGUAACGGCUUACCAAGGCAACGAUGCGUAGCCGACCUGAGAGGGUGAUCGGCCACACUGGAACUGAGACACGGUCCAGACUCCUACGGGAGGCAGCAGUAGGGAAUCUUCCGCAAUGGGCGAAAGCCUGACGGAGCAACGCCGCGUGAGUGAUGAAGGUCUUCGGAUCGUAAAACUCUGUUAUUAGGGAAGAAUAAAUGUGUAAGUAACUAUGCACGUCUUGACGGUACCUAAUCAGAAAGCCACGGCUAACUACGUG
rnacentral:rRNA from 1 species